UGACUGGAUAGCAAGGACAAUAGUGGGAUUUUCAAAACAAUAAAAGGACAAUGGAAGAUUCUGAUCACUGGGUCAUGACUGGAUGACAUGGAGAACAGUGAGAUUUUCAAAACAAUGAAAAGACAAUGGAACAUUCUGAUCACUGGAUCAUGACUGGAUGACAUGGAGAACAGUGAGAUUUUCAAAACAAUGAAAAGACAAUGGAACAUUUUGAUCACUGGAUCAUGACUGGAUGGCAUGGAGAACAGUGGGAUUUUCAAAACAAUGAAAAGACAAUGGAACAUUUUGAUCACUGGAUCAUGACUGGAUGGCAUGGAGAACAGUGGGAUUUUCAAAACAAUGAAAAGACAACAUUUUGAUCACUGGAUCAUGACUGGAUGGUAUGGAGAGCAGUGGGAUUUUCAAACAAUGAAAAGACAAUGAAACAUUUUGAUCACUGGAUCAUGACUGGAUGGUAUGGAGAACAGUGGGAUUUUGAAAACAAUGAAAAGACAAUGGAACAUUCUGAUCACUGGAUCAUGACUGGAUGGCAUGGAGAACAGUGGGAUUUUCAAAACAAUGAAAAGACAAUGGAACAUUCCGAUCACUGGAUCAUGACUGGAUGGCAUGGAGAACAGUGAGAUUUUCAAAACAAUGAAAAGACAAUGGAACAUUCUGAUCACUGGAUCAUGACUGGAUGGCAUGAAGGACAGUGAGAUUUUCAAAACAAUGAAAAGACAAUGGAACAUUUUGAUCACUGGAUCAUGACUGGAUGACAUGGAGAACAGUGAGAUUUUCAAAACAAUGAAAAGACAAUGGAACAUUCUGAUCACUGGAUCAUGACUGGAUGACAUGAAGGACAGUGAGAUUUUCAAAACAAUGAAAAGACAAUGGAACAUUCUGAUCACUGGGUCAUGACUGGAUGACAUGGAGAACAGUGAGAUUUUCAAAACAAUGAAAAGACAAUGGAACAUUCUGAUCACUGGAUCAUGACUGGAUGGCAUGGAGAACAGUGAGAUUUUCAAAACAAUGAAAAGACAAUGGAACAUUCUGAUCACUGGAUCAUGACUGGAUGGCAUGGAGAACAGUGGGAUUUUCAAAACAAUGAAAAGACAUUGGAACAUUCUGAUCACUGGAUCAUGACUGGAUGACAUGGAGAACAGUGAGAUUUUCAAAACAAUGAAAAGACAUUGGAACAUUCUGAUCACUGGAUCAUGACUGGAUGGCAUGGAGAACAGUGGGAUUUUCAAAACAAUGAAAAGACAAUGGAACAUUUUGAUCACUGGAUCAUGACUGGAUGGCAUGGAGAACAGUGGAAUUUUCAAAACAAUGAAAAGACAAUGGAACAUUCUGAUCACUGGAUCAUGACUGGAUGGCAUGAAGGACAGUGAGAUUUUCAAAACAAUGAAAAGACAAUGGAACAUUUUGAUCACUGGAUCAUGACUGGAUGGCAUGGAGAACAGUGAGAUUUUCAAAACAAUGAAAAGACAAUGGAACAUUCUGAUCACUGGAUCAUGACUGGAUGGCAUGGAGAACAGUGAGAUUUUCAAAACAAUGAAAAGACAAUGGAACAUUCUGAUCACUGGAUGGCAUGAAGGACAGUGAGAUUUUCAAAACAAUGAAAAGACAAUGGAACAUUUUGAUCACUGGAUCAUGACUGGAUGGCAUGGAGAACAGUGGAAUUUUCAAAACAAUGAAAAGACAAUGGAACAUUCUGAUCACUGGAUCAUGACUGGAUGACAUGAAGGACAGUGAGAUUUUCAAAACAAUGAAAAGACAAUGGAACAUUUUGAUCACUGGAUCAUGACUGGAUGGCAUGGAGAACAGUGGGAUUUUCAAAACAAUGAAAAGACAAUGGAACAUUUUGAUCACUGGAUCGUAACUGGAUGGCAUGAAGAACAGUGGGAUUUUCAAAACA
rnacentral:lncRNA from 1 species